rnacentral:rRNA from 1 species
CACUCCUACGGGAGGCAGCAGUGGGGAAUAUUGGACAAUGGGCGCAAGCCUGAUCCAGCCAUGUCGCGUGAGUGAUGAAGGCCCUAGGGUUGUAAAGCUCUUUCACCGGUGAAGAUAAUGACGGUAACCGGAGAAGAAGCCCCGGCUAACUUCGUGCCAGCAGCCGCGGUAAUACGAAGGGGGCUAGCGUUGUUCGGAUUUACUGGGCGUAAAGCGCACGUAGGCGGACUAUCAAGUCAGGGGUGAAAUCCCGGGGCUCAACCCCGGAACUGCCUUUGAUACUGGUAGUCUUGAGUUCGAGAGAGGUGAGUGGAAUUCCGAGUGUAGAGGUGAAAUUCGUAGAUAUUCGGAGGAACACCAGUGGCGAAGGCGGCUCACUGGCUCGAUACUGACGCUGAGGUGCGAAAGCGUGGGGAGCAAACAGGAUUAGAAACCCUUGUAGUCCCAUG